UACGUAGGUGGCAAGCGUUGUCCGGAUUUACUGGGCGUAAAGGGCGUGCAGGCGGUUUGUUAAGUGCAGGGUGAAAGCUCCCGGCUCAACUGGGAGAGGUCCUUGCAUACUGGCAAACUCGAGGGAGGCAGAGGAAAGUGGAAUUCCCGGUGUAGUGGUGAUAUGCGUAGAUAUCGGGAGGAACACCUGUGGCGAAGGCGGCUUUCUGGGCCCUACCUGACGCUGAGACGCGAAAGCGUGGGGAGCGAACCGG
rnacentral:rRNA from 1 species